GCUUACUUUAGCCAAAGUUUUCCCUUUCUUUUAUUCUCUUUAAGCGAAAAAGGAUCGUGAGGAUUCCCUGCCACAGUGUGUCCAGCAAAUUGUCACUUUCCAUGCACCAAAUUGAGAUUGAUUACAGAGCAGAAAGGGGAAAAGGAGAAAGAGAAGUCGUCUUUGGAGGCAACCGAGGUAGGAUUCCAAUGUGCUACAGAGACUUUAACGAAUGCAUUUAGGCUGGCCAAUGAUUUCUCCGAGUGGUGUUACUUAUCAGAAAUAAUUUGCAUUAGACUCUUUAAACUGCUGCAAGUUCUGAGUUAGGCCACAGCCAAGAACACGUAGAAAUUUUUCUGCUCAGAAACAUGUAAUUGACAUUUUGAGGAGACACAGCGAAAGAUAGUUUGGGAGAAGGGAUCGCAAUCCACAUGAAUAUUCCUUGUUUUCGUAAGAUUAAACAAAUUCAGAAGUGAUGCAACCACUGGUAGCAAGUAAUUGAUCAUCAAAAAGAAGAAGAAAAAGAAAAGCUUUGUUCCUAUUGACGGAGAAGAUCCAUGGCUUUCUGCAAGACGGGCCUGAACCUGUUCACGUCAAGCUUCACAUCUUGUUUGCGCAGGUAUAUCUUCCCCAUGUCCAUCCACCCUAGCUUGUGGAUCGACUGUGGGUCCGUAAACACAGCGUGGUCUCUGGGAUACAACUGUAGCAGAGUGCUCUCGUCGACGGUAAUGUUGUACU